GUGGAAGCUUUGUUGUUUUGCUUUUUGCAAUAAAUCGUGCUGCUGCUGAUUGUUAAGGUACGUGCUACUUUUAUGAGCUGUAACAUUGACCGCGAAAAUUUGCAGCUUCACUCCCGAACCCAGCUGAGGCCACGAGCCCACCGGGUGGAAUGAACUAUUCCAGACACGCUGCUUUAAGAGCUGUAACACUCACCGCGAAGGUCUGCAGUUUCAUUUCUGAGCCAGCGGAGACCACUAACCCACCAGAAAGAAGCUCCGAACACGUCUGAACAUCAGAACAGGCUUCAGAUGCGCCACCUUAAGCUGUAACACCCACCGCGAAGGUUUGCAGCUUCACUCCUCAGCCAGCGAGACCACGAACCCAUCUGAACAUCAGAAGGGACAGACUCCAUAUGCGCCACCUUAAGAGCUGUAACACUCACUGCGAGGGUCUGCAGCUUCAUUCUUGAAGUCAGUGAGACCAAGAAUACAGCAACUCCGGACACACAGGGACCAGUUUCCUAAUUCUCUCGGGCUCUCCGUGCUGCUCUGGUAACUAAGGCCCUUGGCUGCAGGGGCUUGGACACUGCCCUUAGUCACUGACAAUUGUGUGAAGGCUGCUGUCGUAAACUCCACUUGACUACCUUAGGCUCCUCUGACGGAUGGAGAAAUUGCACUGCAGAGAAAUCUUUAAAAGCAAUGACCUAAUACUGCAGAUUGCUGAACUGUACCCACACCCAAGACUGAGCGUUGGAUCAAUCCAGAAUAUACAUCAGGUGUUCUGCAAUGUCUGCCUAAAACCAUGACUCUGCCUCCUCCAGCUGUUGCUACAUCUCACUCUGGGUUUCCUGUGACAUUUUGAGCAAGUAUGCCUCUGUGACUGGGGUUCUUACACUCCAGAAUGGAUGAGAAGCACCGUAAGUGGCUUUUAAAAUGAAUAUUC
rnacentral:lncRNA from 1 species